UACGGGGGGGGCAAGCGUUGUUCGGAAUUACUGGGCGUAAAGGGCUCGUAGGUGGCCAACUAAGUCAGACGUGAAAUCCCUCGGCUUAACCGGGGAACUGCGUCUGAUACUGGAUGGCUUGAGUAUGGGAGAGGGAUGCGGAAUUCCAGGUGUAGCGGUGAAAUGCGUAGAUAUCUGGAGGAACACCGGUGGCGAAGGCGGCAUUCUGGACCAUUACUGACGCUGAGGAGCGAAAGCCAGGGGAGCAAACGGG
rnacentral:rRNA from 1 species